rnacentral:ncRNA from 1 species
GAACGCCGUGUGAGUUCGAAAGUCUCACGCACGGUGUGGAGCGGGGGAAAAUCUGGAGAUAACCUCAUAAGGAUUACCUAUCGCUAU